UGGGGAAUAUUGCACAAUGGGGGGAACCCUGAUGCAGCGACGCCGCGUGAAGGAAGAAGUAUUUCGGUAUGUAAACUUCUAUCAGCAGGGAAGAAAAAGGACGGUACCUGACUAAGAAGCCCCGGCUAACUACGUGCCAGCAGCCGCGGUAAUACGUAGGGGGCGAGCGUUAUCCGGAUUUACUGGGUGUAAAGGGGGCGCAGACGGCCAUGGCAAGCCCGGUGUGAAAGGUGCGGGCACAACCCGCAGACUGCACUGGUAACUGCCUGGCUGGAGUGCCGGAGGGGUAAGCGGAAUUCCUGG
rnacentral:rRNA from 1 species